AUAUAAAGUCUAGAACUUUCAUUAGAAUAA
rnacentral:tRNA from 1 species